CAUUGAAAAAUUAUAAAAAAAUAAGAAAUUUAUAAUACCCUACUUCUUUACAUUAACCUAUUCAUUUUUGUCAUUCAGGAUUGUCAAGUUAUUUUUAUGCCAUUCUCCAUUAUUCUUUUUAGGGGACAUAC